AUUGAACGCUGGCGGCAGGCCUAACACAUGCAAGUCGAACGAGUGGCGGACGGGUGAGUAAUGUCUGGGAAACUGCCUGAUGGAGGGGGAUAACUACUGGAAACGGUAGCUAAUACCGCAUACCAUCAGAUGUGCCCAGUGGGGAUUAGCUUGUUGGGGGGGUAACGGCUCACCAAGGCGACGAUCCCUAGCUGGUCUGAGAGGAUGACCAGCCCCACUGGAACGUAGCAACGGUCCAGACUCCUAGGGUAGGCAGAAGUGGGGAAUAUUGCAAAAUGGGCGCAAGCCUGAUGCAGCAAUGCCGCGUGUAUGAAGAGGGCCUUCGGGUUGUAAAGUACUUUCAGCGGGGAGGCGUUACCCGCAGAAGAAGCACCGGCUAACUCCGUGCCAGCAGCCGCGGUAAUAC
rnacentral:rRNA from 1 species